GCAAGUCGAACGAGAACGGGUCUUAGCUUGCUAAGAUUGUCAGCUAAGUGGCGCACGGGUGAGUAAUAUAUAGUUAACCUGCCCUAGAGAGGGGGAUAACGUUUGGAAACGAACGCUAAUACCCUAUAUGCCUUUAAAACAAAAGUUUGCAAGGGAAAUAUUUAUAGCUCUAGGAUGAGACUGUACGGUAUCAGCUAGUUGGUGAGGUAAUGGCUCACCAAGACAAUGACGCUUAACUGGUUUGAGAGGAUGAUC
rnacentral:rRNA from 1 species